GGGAAUCUUCCACAAUGGACGCAAGUCUGAUGGAGCAACGCCGCGUGAGUGAAGAAGGCUUUCGGGUCGUAAAACUCUGUUGUUGGAGAAGAAUGGUCGGCAGAGUAACUGUUGCCGGCGUGACGGUAUCCAACCAGAAAGCCACGGCUAACUACGUGCCAGCAGCCGCGGUAAUACGUAGGUGGCAAGCGUUAUCCGGAUUUAUUGGGCGUAAAGCGAGCGCAGGCGGUUUUUUAAGUCUGAUGUGAAAGCCCUCGGCUUAACCGAGGAAGCGCAUCGGAAACUGGGAAACUUGAGUGCAGAAGAGGACAGUGGAACUCCAUGUGUAGCGGUGAAAUGCGUAGAUAUAUGGAAGAACACCAGUGGCGAAGGCGGCUGUCUGGUCUGUAACUGACGCUGAGGCUCGAAAGCAUGGGUAGCGAACAGGAUUAGAUACCCUGGUAGUCCAUGCCGUAAACGAUGAAUGCUAGGUGUUGGAGGGUUUCCGCCCUUCAGUGCCGCAGCUAACGCAUUAAGCAUUCCGCCUGGGGAGUACGACCGCAAGGUUGAAACUCAAAGGAAUUGACGGGGGCCCGCACAAGCGGUGGAGCAUGUGGUUUAAUUCGAAGCAACGCGAAGAACCUUACCAGGUCUUGACAUCUUUUGAUCACCUGAGAGAUCAGGUUUCCCCUUCGGGGGCAAAAUGACAGGUGGUGCAUGGUUGUCGUCAGCUCGUGUCGUGAGAUGUUGGGUUAAGUCCCGCAACGAGCGCAACCCUUAUGACUAGUUGCCAGCAUUUAGUUGGGCACUCUAGUAAGACUGCCGGUGACAAACCGGAGGAAGGUGGGGAUGACGUCAAAUCAUCAUGCCCCUUAUGACCUGGGCUACACACGUGCUACAAUGGAUGGUACAACGAGUUGCGAGACCGCGAGGUCAAGCUAAUCUCUUAAAGCCAUUCUCAGUUCGGACUGUAGGCUGCAACUCGCCUACACGAAGUCGGAAUCGCUAGUAAUCGCGGAUCAGCACGCCGCGGUGAAUACGUUCCCGGGCCUUGUACACACCGCCCGUCACACCAUGAGAGUUUGUAACACCCGAAGCCGGUGGCGUAACCCUUUUAGGGAGCGAGCCGUCUAAGGUGACAAAGUUUG
rnacentral:rRNA from 1 species